rnacentral:lncRNA from 1 species
UUGCCCAGGCUGGUCUGGAACUCCUGAGCUGGACCGAUCCUCCUGCCUUGGCCUCCCAAAGUGCUGAGAUUGCAGGAGUAAUUGGGCAGUAUCUUUUAACUGCAGUGGAGAAGUGUCAACACUACUUUGGCUGUGGGACCAGGAUCCUGCUGCCUGGAGGCAGAUUGAUAUUUUUAUUUCACCUUUAAAGGAUGUACAGUAAGGGUGAGAACAUCUCGAUGAAAUCUCUGCAGUAAAUAACUCUUGGAUCCCUUUCCCAUACAAGUGAAAGGACAAAAGGAUGAUAUGCUGAGAUGGCCUCUUCACCUGCACCAAUGCCAGGGCCAGGGUGGGUCUCAGCUACCCACCCCCAGGAAAGAAGCCUCCUCACCAGUCUCAGGAAGAAAAAUCCUAGAGAAGGCUCUGAUUAGACCAACAUGGUCACAUGGCCACCUGUGUAGCAGGAGAGAAAAGGAACACACUGUACGAGAGAGGAGAAGCAGUUCUCUAAGCAGAAGGGAGCUGUUUGUUACUAGAUGAAGGAGACAGAGCACUGGGCAGACAAGUGGAACAGAUGUCCCCUCCAGAUAUAAGGUGACAUUACUGCUAUUCAUAUCAUUUCACAACAUGCAAUCGUUUAUGGGAACCUCUGAGAGUCAGGGGAGAUGAGAAAAAGGAAGUGGAGAUCAGAACAGAUCACAGAGCGAGAUCACUGAAUGGUCAGCAACAGGCUAUUUUGCAUACUUUCUCAUGUCAUCUUUGCAAGAACCUACAUCUUUGCAAGUAGGAAUUAACAGUCUGCAUUUUCAAGGUGAGGAAGGGGACACCUGGAGAGGUGAAGUGGCUCCCCAGAGGUCACGUGGCUAGAAAGGGCAACUCUGGGAUUUGAACCCAGGUCUGCCCCACCUGGGUCUCGUGCUUUUUGCCCAGUCCCAUGGAGUGGCAGGGAAUGACAGGCCCGCCCCUGACUUGGAAGCACGUCUUUUGUGUCUCUUUAGAAGAAACCAGAGCUUACUCAGGCAGAGGUUAGGGUCUGACAGCUGGGAGAAUCAAGUGUGGAAUGAAUAAGUGGCCAACAGAGAAAAUAGUUCAGGAGGCAGGAUUGAAAGGAAGAGACCCUUGUAGGGGUGUGUGUGGGGAUCCUACACCCCAGUCCCUGUCUCCCUCCCCUACCUCUCCCUUUCUCCUCUUCAACUCAACUCCAAGUGGCAGAUUUAUUAGUUUUAAUUAACAGCCCAAAUGCUUGGAAAACGUCCAAAUUCCAGCUCUUGGCAUCACUGGGUUUCCACGGGAAGGGGUGUGAGGGGGAUGAUGCCAGGAAUAGUAAUGAGCCGGGGUGAGACAGCAGGAGAAACCACCCUCCCUGCCUGGACCUGGCCUGGGCACCUGCCAUCCAUCCUCUGGCCCAACCUGACCUAACCUUGUGGGAGCUAGAGCUGGGCUGGCUUUGUGGGUGGGGGAGGCCCAAUCCCAUGUAAGGUCAUGGGAUUUGGGAGCAUUUGGCUGUGGUUAGAGAUCUGCUGCUGUGUGACCUUGGCCAAGGUGCUUGACUUCUCUGGGGUUAUGGUGAAAUUCAUCUGCAAAGUGAAGGGGAUGAUUUCAAGCCCUGUGAGAGUCCUGGCAGCUCUAAAUUGUGAUUCAGCUUUUUUCCCAAAUCUUCUAACUGCCCUACUUUUCUGACUCUUCCUCUUCCAGGGAAAGACCUUGAAUUUCUCCCUUGGACUCUGCUCCUCUCCUAGAGCCUCCUUCCAGUUUGGAAAAAGUUCUCCACUCCCAGUUUGGGUGUAAGGCCUUCACUUACACCCAAGUGUAACUGUGUAAGGCAAUCCUGUUUGAGGUCUGUCAAUCUGAGCUUGACCUUGGCUCUAUGAGCCCUUACUGGGUGGGGGUCUCAGGCAAGUCUGUGCCAUGCAUUUCCUCAUUGCACAUGGGGAUGACAAUGACUGU